rnacentral:piRNA from 1 species
UGAGUGACCUGCUUGUUUCUUC